AAACAAAACCAAACCGACGUAGAAAGCACAGUUUUGUUUUCCUCCCCUUUGCUUCACUUUCGUUUUCUUCCUGUUGUGUCGCUCUCCUCGGCUUGCCAGAGGGCAGGCGCUCUGAGUGUCCGUGUAUGCGUGCGUCCCAGCGGUUAUAUUAGCGCUGAUCUUUCUCUGGAGCUCUCGUCUAUCUGUCUCUGCGCGCCCAUCAUGAACACACUCCCAGCGUACUCAGGAGCCAGGAUCUCAGGCUGCUGGGCUCUUAGGGCAGAUGGAAGAGAACCUGAGCUUAUGGUUGGCACGUCUGCACAAUGGUGUAUUCUCAUACAGUCCUUGAGUGAACUCAUGAUGCGAACCAGAAGUUGCUAAUGUGCUUUUGUUUAGGUUUUUAAGUGAUAGUUUUUAAUUCUGUCACGUUAUUUAUCCUCAUGUUGUUACAGAGCCAAAUGAUUGGCUUUCUUCUGUGAAACAUGAAAGGAGAUGUUUUGAAGAAUGCUCAUACUGCUCUUUUCCAUUAGAAAUAUAACCAUAUGAAAUUCUUGGUGAUUGUUGAAACUUUUAUUUGCUAUGUGGUAUUGUAACAGUAUUGAAUUACUUUACAAAAUCAGGUUGAUUUUGAUGAACACACAUUGUUAAAAGUUAAAUACUAAAACAAUACACAACAACGAGUAAACAUAUCUUUCAAACUGAUUAAAGUGCAAAAGAGCACAAGUAUAAGAGAACAAUAAUAAAGAAUUAGAACAUUUUCAGCCAGUGUCUAGGUAUUGUUUCAGGGUUGGCAUGUUUUAGUGUAAACACUGUGAAACAAAAAUAGGCUAUGACUUCUCUGAAUAUUUGGUGUAAGCAAAUACAUAUCAAAUACAAAAAUCUGAAAGGAAAACUGUAAAGACUGACCAAUGUGAAAUUCGUAUUUUUAUGUAGGAUUCAUGCAGAGUUGUCAGUUUUAAUCAGUUGAUAGAAAAGAAGUUAUAUAGUUCACCCAAAAAUGAAAAUUUUCUGAACAUUUACUCAACCUCAGGCCAUCUAAGAUGUAGAUGAGUUUGUUUCUUCAUCAUCACUUGCUCACCAGUGGAUCCUCUGUGGUGAAUGGGUGCCGUCAGAAUGAGAGUCCAAACAGCUGAUAAAAACAUCACAAUAAUCCACAAGUAAUCCACACCACUCCAUCAGUUAAUAUCACGUGAAGCUGAAAAUUCCUGUUAAUUUCUUGCCUCAUCGCAUUCUGUUAAGAAUUACAUGAAUCAUGUAAAUUAAAGCCUAUAUUUUCAAUUCGAAAUUUGACAGAAAAAAGUUAAGUAGUUUGCAUCAUUAGAUAUAACUGUUGGUAAUAUAUAUAGUUUAAUCUGUCAUUUAAGAUUUUCACCGUAAAACUGAACGUUUCUCCACUGGCAGAUAUUUGUUCUUGUUAUAAUUCUAAAUUCACUUCUCAGAAAGAAAGACAAAAAUACUAAGGCCCCGUUUACACUAGUGCGUUUUUGUUUUAAAAUGGCAUUUUAGAAUGAAAACGAUCCUCGUCUACACUGGCGUUUCCGCUGCGUUUCAGAAACGAUCUCCAUUUACACUACACAACCUAAAACACAUGUCACGUGACCAUUCACACAGGUACAGCCAUAGAUAUGAAUAGGUAGAUUCUCUAUUAUUUAGAUUGCGAUUGAAUGAGGAAUCUACGUAUACAUCUAUGGGUACAACAAUCUGCAUGAUGUUAUUGUUUACAUGGUCGUCAAGGAUACGCAGGAUACCAUCAUUUUCAAAAGUCUUCGUUUUGGUCCGUUUAUGCUGAAACGCAACCCCGGAGUUUUCAAACCAAUACGGGGUCUGCAGCAUUUUCAAAAGUCUCUGUUUUCGAGGGUCUAAAAUGCCGGAGUAGUGUAAACGAUAGGCGUAACCGUAGCAAAAGUUAUGCGUUUUAAAACGAAAACACACUAGUGUAAAUGGGGCCAAAGGAAGGAUUUUUUUUUCUUUUUCUCAUACUCUAAUGUUUGGGAGCAGAGCUAUUCGACCCUUAAGCUAUUUUGUUUGUGAAAUAAAUGAAAAAGUAAUGGAGAUCUGUAGGAAAUUGAAUUUUCGAACCUUUACAUCGAGAGACCAUAUUGACGCAUUGUGUUCCCUUCAGUUUAUUGCUUCAAUUCUCUUUAGGCUACUUGGUCUUUAAAAAAAAGAUCUUUAAAAAAAGUCUUAAAUUUACCAUUAAAACCCACCCAGAAAGCCUGAUUAAAUGAAUCCAUUUGGCUGGUGCACUACAUUUAAA
rnacentral:lncRNA from 1 species